rnacentral:misc_RNA from 1 species
GAUGAAGAACGUAGCGAAAUGCGAUAAGUAAUGUGAAUUGCAGAAUUCAGUGAAUCAUCGAAUCUUUGAACGCACAUUGCGCCCGCCAGUAUUCUGGCGGGCAUGCCUGUUCGAGCGUCAUUUCAACCAUCAAGCCCCAGGCUUGUGUUGGGGACCUGCGGCUGCCGCAGGCCCUGAAAACCAGUGGCGGGCUCGCUGUCACACCGGGCGUAGUAGAUUUUAUCUCGCUCAGGGCGGGCUGCGGGUUCCGGCCGUUAAAAAGCCUUUUUUACCCAAGGUUGACCUCGGAUCAGGUAGGAAGACCCGCUGAACUUAAGCAUAUCAAUAAGCGGAGGA